rnacentral:rRNA from 1 species
AGUGAACGCUGGCGGUAGGCCUAACACAUGCAAGUCGAACGGCAGCACAGUAAGAGCUUGCUCUUACGGGUGGCGAGUGGCGGACGGGUGAGGAAUACAUCGGAAUCUACUUUUUCGUGGGGGAUAACGUAGGGAAACUUACGCUAAUACCGCAUACGACCUACGGGUGAAAGCAGGGGAUCUUCGGACCUUGCGCGAUUGAAUGAGCCGAUGUCGGAUUAGCUAGUUGGCGGGGUGAAGGCCCACCAAGGCGACGAUCCGUAGCUGGUCUGAGAGGAUGAUCAGCCACACUGGAACUGAGACACGGUCCAGACUCCUACGGGAGGCAGCAGUGGGGAAUAUUGGACAAUGGGCGCAAGCCUGAUCCAGCCAUACCGCGUGGGUUAAGAAGGCCUUCGGGUUGUAAAGCCCUUUUGUUGGGAAAGAAAAGCAGCAGGUUAAUACCCCGCUGUUCUGACGGUACCCAAAGAAUAAGCACCGGCUAACUUCGUG